rnacentral:tRNA from 4 species
GUCGGGGUGGCGAAAUGGCAGACGCACUAGCUUGAGGGGCUAGUUCUCGCAAGAGAGUGCAGGUUCGACUCCUGUCCCCGACA